GGCACGUGUGAUGAGUAGUUCAAGGGACUUAAUUCUGACUAUUGAUGAUGGAACUUACUGAUGUGC